UUACGGUGAUAUCACGCUGAAACACCGGUUCUUGUUCGAUCACCGAAGUUAAGCAACGUUAAGUCUGGUCAGUAGUCAGAUUAGUGACCGUUGGGAAAUACCAGAUGU